rnacentral:rRNA from 1 species
GACGGAGGAUGCAAGCGUUAUCCGGAAUUAUUGGGCGUAAAGCGUCCGCAGGUGGCUGUUCAAGUCUGCUGUCAAAGCGCAGAGCUUAACUCUGUACAGGCGGUGGAAACUGAAGAGCUAGAGUAUGGUAGGGGUAGAGGGAAUUCCCGGUGUAGCGGUGAAAUGCGUAGAUAUCGGGAAGAACACCGAUGGCGAAGGCAGAUCUCUGGGCCGUAACUGACGCUGAGGAGCGAAAGCAUGGGGAGCGAACAGG